GUGGUGGAGUUUUUUUAAUGGGAUGAGAUGUAGUAUGGUAGAAGAUGAUGAAUAAACAAAAAAAAGAUAAGGAGGAUCCCUUUGCAGGUAACUCGGCUUCAUAUGGACACGUUCGAGAUGAGAAAAAUAGAUGAAGAGGAUUAAGAAAAAUUAAGAAAGAUUUUAUAGAAGAAGAUGAAGGCUUCGUGAAGAAGAUGAAGGAGAUUGGAAGAAAGAGACAAGAGAAGAGAGGAGAAGAGAAGGGAAGAUG
rnacentral:lncRNA from 1 species